rnacentral:rRNA from 1 species
AUACGGAGGGUGCAAGCGUUAUUCGGAAUCACUGGGCGUAAAGGACGCGUAGGCGGGUUGGCAAGUCAGAUGUGAAAUCCUACAGCUUAACUGUAGAACUGCAUUUGAAACUGCUAACCUAGAGUAUGGGAGGGGGAGAUGGAAUUAGUUGUGUAGGGGUAAAAUCCGUAGAUAUCACUAGGAAUACCGAAAGCGAAGGCGAUUUCCUGGAACAUAACUGACGCUAAGGCGUGAAAGCGUGGGGAGCAAACAGGAUUAGAUACCCUAGUAGUCC